GGUGCGCUCGCCGGUGGUGAACGGCUUAUCGUUGCCGUCGAUGUCACUGGUCAGCAGGUCGGCCGCUUCUGCGUCGGUGCGCGCCACCA
rnacentral:tRNA from 1 species